rnacentral:rRNA from 1 species
ACGCUCGACACCUACGGGGGGCAGCAGUGGGGAAUAUUGCACAAUGGGGGAAACCCUGAUGCAGCGACGCCGCGUGGAGGAAGAAGGUCUUCGGAUUGUAAACUCCUGUUGUUUGGGAAAAAGAGGAUGGUACCCAACAAGGAAGUGACGGCUAACUACGUGCCAGCAGCCGCGGUAAUCUGAGCGGGCUGGCAAGGC